CUGGUCAGCAGGCAGUGUGUUGUCAUUGUAAGAUGACACGAACUUAAAGUCACUGGUCCUAGAACCCGUUGUCAGGUAGGCGUCAUAAUUGUAAGUGCUGCGUAAAGUUCCUGUGCCGUCAACAUCUGCGUAAUUAGGAGGGAGAUAAGCGCUGGGGAUGGCGACUGCUCCAUCAAACAACAGUCUGGGCUUUCUCCUGCGACAAAACCUCACACCCAGGAUGAUGAUAAUGAAGGUCAGGAAAAAGGUGGACACAGACACCAGCGCGAUGAUCAGAUCCACGUUUCAUCUCCUCCGGGAUAGAGUAGCUCACGUCUCCGUGGACGAGGUGGAGGGUAAGAAAAAUUACAACAAGGCCGCGGAGCAGCGCAAAUCUGUUGUUCCCCAUUAUAACGACGAAACAAAAGACCACUUAAAUGUAAGUUUUCAACAAAAUGAAAUCCACGUUGCAUUCGUGAUGUCCUUGGAUUUUCAAAAGUAGUUACACUGCAGCCAUUAAUUCCAAGCUGUUUUAGUCCAGUGCUGCACAAUACUGGAAUCUGGCUUUACAUUUCUCGACGUAAAAGGGUGGAGAGUGAACGUGCAGCCUCGUUUAUUAGUACACAGUGACACCUUGAGUACUUUGUGAGAUAUAACACUGGGGUGUAUGAUUUUCUGAUGGUCUUUUAAAAAACAUACACAAAUAACUUUAUUUAUCUUCAAACAAAAGCUAAUUCGACAACUUGGGUUUCUUAAGAAACACUAUGAAAAACAUAAGUAUUUUGAUAUUAUUUAUGGUUUUAAGAAUAAAGCUACGUGGCAAUACAUAAUCAGACUAACCACACAGAAAAGGGAGAGUGCUGGUUUGAAAAAAUGUAGCUGGAGAUAAAACUGCUUUCAGCACCAUGGAUAGAGGAAGGGAAUUCAAAGGUUAUCCCCGGAAAGAGAGCAACAUUGCAUGAAGACAGAGAGAAGGACUACAAAAAAACAAAAACAAAGUAAGAACAGCCUGAAAAAUGUGGCUACAGAAUUUACAGCUUCAGCAUAAAUAACAAGAAUGUGUGCGUUUCAUUAUAAUGUGAAGUGAAGGUGGUUGAGGCUAAGACCCCCCAAACAUAUUCUUAAAGAGCUGUUCAGCAUGUCCGCACCAAAAGGGAAAGCCUUGUUUGGUUAAAACUUCUAUAUGAGAGAUGUAAUAUUAAAGCAAUGACGACUUUCAUAGGACCAAACCAAAACUCCGAAGUCAAAAACCUUUAGCUCACAUCAUUAAUUACUACACAAGUUAGACCCUUCAGCAUUUCUGUUUCCCAGUUUAAAGACAAAAACUCAUGAGGCAUCAAUAAAGUCUGUUGGACUUUUUCUCACAGUCUGAUCGGCAGGCAGUGUGUUGUCAUUGUAAGAUGUCACAAACUUGAAGCCACAAACAAGAACCAGACUCAUUCUAAGAUGAUCCGCUCAAAGCAUUUCAUCGUGAUAAUAGUAAGACAACAAUCCCCAGAAGUUUAUGCUAAACAAUGUCUGACAACACACUGGUUAUGUGUUGUCCCACGAUGCACGAUGUAAAUUAUAUUGGUCACUUAACUAUAUUAAACAAAUUCCAGCAUCUGUGACCCUGGUCUUAGCUUUUAUUCUGGAGUUAAAUGCCAUACAGACAAGCUCCCAGAGAAGUCCAUCUCUCCAUCUCUCUAUCUGUCUGCCUUUCUGUGUAGAUGAUGGAUUCAAGCAUCAAGGUGUUUUCAAGAGAUGUCAGUGUAAGACUAAUAGAGCCAAGUUUAUGCUAAACAAUGUCUGACAACACACUGGUUAUGUGUUGUCCCACGAUGCACGAUGUAAAUUAUAUUGGUCACUUAACUAUAUUAAACAAAUUCCAGCAUCUGUGACCCUGGUCUUAGCUUUUAUUCUGGAGUUAAAUGCCAUACAGACAAGCUCCCAGAGAAGUCCAUCUCUCCAUCUCUCUAUCUGUCUGCCUUUCUGUGUAGAUGAUGGAUUCAAGCAUCAAGGUGUUUUCAAGAGAUGUCAGUGUAAGACUAAUAGAGCCAAGUUUAUGCUAAACAAUGUCUGACAACACACUGGUUAUGUGUUGUCCCACGAUGCACGAUGUAAAUUAUAUUGGUCACUUAACUAUAUUAAACAAAUUCCAGCAUCUGUGA